rnacentral:lncRNA from 1 species
AGUAAAUGAAUAAUCUUAAAUCAUGCUAGUAACAUUAUCAUUCAUUUGGUUGUUAAUCCUAGUAACAUUAUCUUAUUAACAAGAAAAAAAUCUUCACUUUUGUAAAAAUAUAUUCAUUUUAAUAUGAGUUUAUUUCUCUAGUGUAAAUUGCGUGUCACUUGCACAUAUUGUACAAAGUUACGGGCAAAGUGUAUCGUACCAUAUUUACAAUUUUUACAGUUAUAAUAACAACUGUCAAUGACACAUAAUGAUGGAAUUUUAAAUGAGGAAUCUAUUUGCAAGAAAAAUAAUAUGUCAAUGUUUUGUUUUGUUUUGCAAAAUUGUAACGGUUGAAAAAGCUGAUUUCAAAUAUUGUUGUGAUUACCUUUACUUGAACAAUAACUCAAAAUUACUACAAAAUGUAAUCCUCUUUGGCAGGUUUAACCCCGUUAUGCCCAUCCUACCCCCACAUGGUUAAACCCAGGCCGGUCCUAAGAUUUUGGAGGCCAUGUGCAAGACUCAAACAGAGACCCUUACAAGGUCUAAAUUUUGGUUGCUAUAUUUUCUUGUAUAUUUUAUAUUUUAUCUUUUUUGUGUGUAUAAAUUGAUAUAAACGCAAAAGAAAUUAAAUAAAAAAGAAGCAUGGUUUGGUGGCUAUGUAUAUGCAUUCCUUAUGUUUUUGAGUUUGAAACUCCUUACUUUUUAAAUACAAAAAGCAUGGUGUGGUGGCAUAUCAUAUCACCGUACAUAUAUUAUAAUCAGAACAACUCAUGCUCUUUAUUAUGAACUAGUUAAACAGAUCAUUGGUUAUGAUAUUGUCGCAUCUUAUAAUGAACUGUUAGUUUUUUUUAUUGCAUUUUUUCUCACUCCCUAAAGUGAGGAUGAUUCUAACCCCCACUCGGUUGAUUGUCGUUAGAUUAGUUAGAAUUCAAGAUUUGUGUAUUAAAUCAAUUAAACCAAAUUAAUUUAACGGUAAUCAAUAAGGGAUGAGCAUCACCUGCUCACCUCCACUUUAGUGUUGUGAGCAAAGUU